ACCAAAUGAGAUUCCCAAAGGUGCAAAAAAGCUACAGAGAUAUAUAUCAUGCCCCAUGCAUCUGAGUGCACAUUUUGUGAAAACGAUGGUCAUAAUAAGAGGACAUGUCCUCAGAUAUGUAUUUUAAGCUUCAUUAAUUUGUAGUAUUGUACUAUAAUUUCAAUAUUAGAUAAAUUUUCCAUGUAUCUUGUUCAACCUUAAAUUCCCUAUGUUCUUAGAGAGGACAAGCACUAGAACCUCCUCCUCAUGUUCCAGUGAGCAAAAAUAUGUAUAAGACAAGUGGAAGGGCAAGAGGAAGCAGCACAAAUAGAGGAAGAGGUAUUAGAAAUUCAAUUAUGAUGGAAGAAGGGCAAUCUGGAUUAAUCUGGACAAGGGACAAGAGGAAGACAAUGUACUAUAGGGAAGACAUGGUGUUCCAUAUGUUAAAGAGUUGGGGGGACCAGGGGAGGAAGAGGCCAGUUUGUUGCUCCAACAAGAAAAAGAGGACAAUUUGAAAGCUUUAAUAGAGGCCGGUAACCUGUUACAAGUACUGGAGGAAUGUCACUGUGAGCCCUGAAAAUAUUUAAGGAGCUAAAGUGGAAUAGUUUGAGAUUUGAUUGGUAGUCUCAACGAUUGUUAAAGAUUUUUGGGAAUAUUUUCUGAAUUUUACUUGAGGCGAAACUUUCAAUUUAUAGGUCAGAUGAUAAAAUACACUUCACAACGAGUCCGUGCUAAUUUUUGUGGAAUUUUUCAGACUCCUGAACUAAUUGUUAUGAUUUUCCGAAUAUUCGGGAUUAUAGAAAUUGUUUAAAUUAUUUAAAAAAAAAUUUGUUUAAUGGAAA